CUUUGUCGUCCCCCUUCACGCUCUCUUCCUCCCGAGACCCCUCUCGUGUUCCUCCUCGUCACUCGCAAGCUACCGCCUCCCCUUCACCCUCCUCCGCCCAGUCAUCCGAGCCGCGCAACCCACCGUCGGAUCCAAUCGACCGCCUCUCUCGCACCGCGAAAGUCACCGCCGCCCCUGGAGACCCUUCGUUCCCUUUCAAAGCCAGCUUUCAUCCGUGCCAAGCCCUGCUCCACGCGACGCCCCUCGCCGUUUGUGGUGUGCAGCUGCGCCACCGUGAGCCGCCCAGCCUCGCCAGCUCUCCAUACCUGUCUGGUUCACGUAGAGGUUGCUAUCGCCGUCGAUUGCCUCUCCGACCUGCCACGCCCACCAAUUUUCGCCAGUCAAUCAUUGCUGCAUUGGUUUUCGUCGGACUUUUAGAGUCCCAAGUAGUCGUUAGUUGGAAUUAGAAUCUGCUUAAUAGGAGAUUUUGGAGAUUGAAAUGUUAGGUGUGUUGUUGAUCAAGUUUCGUUGGGGUCGUUACUUCAAGUCACUGUCAUCGUUUGGUUGUCUGAUUUUAUCUGUGGAUUUUCGAUUAAGAUAAGUAAUCUUACUACUGGAACUGCCCACGUGCCAGACAAUGUAGUUAUGAUUUACUGAGGAUUUGAUGAUAGUUUGAUAUUUAUGUAUGCCUUGCUAAUAUGAGGAUUUAAAAGACUAAGUGCGCAUAGAGAUAUUCGAAUGCUAGCAUGAUUUGAGUAUAUAUUAUUCUAUGAGAUUCUAUUUGAUAUGAGGAUGGUGAGAUGUAUAUGUAUGUUAUGGGACUAUGAUGACGAGAUGUAUAUGUAUGUUAUAGAACUAUGAUGAUGAAGUGUAUAUGAAUAUUAUGGAAUCAUGUUACGAUACUUGUAAUGCUGUAAUCGUGAUAGUAUCCUGUUAGUUAGAUGCCCACUAGAGGUUGUGUGUUCUUUGGGAUUUACUAGAGGUGGUGCUUUCCUUUGAGAUUCACCAGAGGUUGUGUUUCCUUCGAGAUUCCCUAGAAGUGGUGUUUUCUUCGGGAUUCACCAGAGGUUAUGGGUCUUACUAGAGGUAGUGGGUAUACUUAACUACAAUAGGAUAAAAUUCAGUUAUUAAUGCAUGUAUGUAUCCCAUGAGGACUAGGAGAGUGCUUACGCUCCACCAAAGGUAGGCAUCUAGAGGACAUAAAUGUCUAGCUUGACUUCAGUAGUGAGGUUACUUACUGAGUAUUUUAUA